AGAAAUAAUGUAAUAUGCAUCGAUGUAAUUGAUGCCGAUGUACCGAUUCACCGAUGUAAGCGUGAUUUUCAGAUACAAAAUCACACAAGUUCGAUGCUAUUGUACAUCGGACUUAAUAUUACACAUAAUCAGAACCACCAAGCUCCUUUACACUAAAUCUGUGUAAUAUUCACAUCAAGUGAAUGUGAAUAUUACACACAAACAGCUGCAACCAAUUGGUUACGCUGACUGUGUUGAAAAUUACACAAAAAGAUGCCAUAUCACAAUCAUUUUCGUGCAAUAUUAAAUCUAGCAACACUUCCAGUCUUGUUUUGAUUGUUUGCUCAAAAUGGCAGCCGGUUGGUCGAAUCGAAGUUUUUCCGAAUCUUUGAUGCGUCCACUACUGCCCCGAUAAUUCAAUAAUGUGGGCUCGAAUGAGGCAUCUUUAACAUUGCAUCGCAUCGCUGGGUGCAUCUCGGUACAUCUGGCAUGGAGAGAACCUCAGACCUCAGUCCCGGCGCAGAUUCCGCCGGUUGUAGCACCGAAGCUACCUGCGGUAUCCCUUAAAUUCGAGUCACUUUGUCACUGACCAGUGGAUGAAAAACGGAUGAGUUGAAUAUGAGAGAUGUGGAGGUUUUGGAAUGUGCUGCAACCGAGAUCCCUGGAUAGCAACAUCAAUUCUAACCGGAUCAUUCAUCAAUGACUGCAAUUGUGUUAUUGAAACUGCAACAUCCGGACGGAUAUUCGAUUUUGCGUAUACUGCUCUUUGGUGGUAACAUUCUUGAGAGCAACCAUAUCGUAGCCGUUUCUUCAAGAAUAUCAACCCCAUCCCCAUGGACUCGAAAAAUAUGGAGAUUGAAUUUGAGAGAAGUGGACGGAUUUCUUCUAAGCUGAAAAAAGUGCUGGAUAUACACGAUUCAGCGGAGAACAGAUGUUGUCACCGAUGGCGAAACAGGAUGACAAUGCAUACGUCUUCGAGUAAAUGCUGCAUUUGCCGUCGGAAAACCGUUAUUAAGCUGAUUAGUUCGACGAUCUGUGUAUGGCCGAUGCGGUAAACACUCAUGCAAUCAGCACAAGCUUGCUUCCCGGUCGGUUCCAGAUACUUUCGUAAAUGAAAUAAUGUUGACCUCCUUGGGCGUAGAGUAUCUAUGUUCCAGUGGCAUAAAUAAAAAAAAAACGAAAUUCGAGGCUCAUUUGAUUCUUGAGUGCCUAUAGGCCGAAGGCUAAUGUGUAGGAUAUGUCCCAGUUGGGACGUUAAGUCAAGAAAAGAGAAAAUGAGUGAAUAAAUAAAUUAUGGUACUAACUAAGUUCAUCCAUCCAUUAAUCUUCUCUUCUAUGGCUGGUUAAAUUAUGUUUUUAUCCUUUUUCGUUCGGAAUUAAGUGUAUCUCUUGGGUUUUCUUCAGCAAUAUGAAACUGAGCGAAAAAGGAUGAAAAGAUAAUUUAAUCUGCCAUUGAAGAGCAUUUCAAAUCGAUUCCAUUUUACAUCGCUUCAAUUACAUCAUAUCGUCGUUUACGUCGAAUUUAUUACAUCGCGCGAAUUACAUCGAAUCUGUUAUUUACAUUAAAGCCAUCGAGUACAUCGGGCUGUGUAAUAUUCAUCAUUCGAUGUAACGACCUGGUUGCAGCGAUUUCGAUGUAAUAUUCAACAACUUUUUUUGC